rnacentral:rRNA from 1 species
AACGAACGCUGGCGGCAGGCUUAACACAUGCAAGUCGAACGCCCCGCAAGGGGAGUGGCAGACGGGUGAGUAACGCGUGGGAACAUACCCUUUUCUACGGAAUAGCUCUGGGAAACUGGAAUUAAUACCGUAUACGCCCUACGGGGGAAAGAUUUAUCGGGGAAGGAUUGGCCCGCGUUGGAUUAGCUAGUUGGUGGGGUAAAGGCCUACCAAGGCGACGAUCCAUAGCUGGUCUGAGAGGAUGAUCAGCCACAUUGGGACUGAGACACGGCCCAAACUCCUACGGGAGGCAGCAGGGGGGAAUAUUGGACAAUGGGCGCAAGACUGAUCCAGCCAUGCCGCGUGAGUGAUGAAGGCCUUAGGGUUGUAAAGCUCUUUCACCGAUGAAGAUAAUGACGGUAGUCGGAGAAGAAGCCCCGGCUAACUUCGUG